CUUGACUCAUAAUUCUCAAACACGAGACCGAACCAUCUAGGGAGGACAAAGCCAUCUUUUCGGGGUGGUAACUUUUCUUUUCUAGCAUAGUCUCCAUUAUAUUAGUUCAUUGGGUUUACAAUUGCCUUCUUGCUAACCGUUUGAGCCUUUUCCCUUCUUUUCAAGCCACAUAAGCCUUUUGUUUCUUUUUGUUCCGUUUUUUUUUGUUUUUGUGAAGAAAAUGGUAAUGCUAUUAAACUUUUGUUUUUGAAUUAAUAACGCGAAUUAAUAAGCGACACAAAUAAGUAAUGUGCAGCUUUAAACUUUGAACUAUUUGCGUCACAUUUUAUUAGUUGAGUGACGCAAAUCACUCUUUUGCAUUUAGGUUAUUUCGGAUUCCACUUGCUAGCUGCCUCCCUUUUACUAAAACAAAAACACAGCGCUACUCCUAUCUUCCAAGAACAGCGAUUUCCUAGAGCUAAACACCCAAAAUUUCAAGCAAAAAAACCCCAGAAAUUUGAGCAAAAAAACCCUUGAAAUUCGACCCAUACACCCCAAGAAAUUUGAGCAAAAAUCACGCUGAAAUUCAAGGAAUUUCGCCAAAAACCCCCAUAAAAUCGACCCAAAAACCCCUGGAACCCAAAAACCCCAGAAAUUUGACCCAAAAACCCCCAUAAAUUCCACCAAAAAAACCCCACAAAUUCAACAACCAAACCGCAAUGAUGACAACACCCAUAAUCGGAAAAAAAUUCAGGUUUACAAACCCUUAAUUUCGAGCAAAACAACCAAAAAAAACCCAAAGAAACCCUAGGAAUUUGAGCAUUAAUUCGAGCAAAUUCGAUUAUGGGAAAAUUUGAGCAAAUUUGAGCAAAAAAAUUGAGCAAAUUCGAGCAUUAACUCGAGCAAUUUCAACCAAAAAAAUUGAAUUAAAACCCCAGGAAUUCGUUGAGUGAAUUACUGCCUUUAUAAUUGAAUUUUUGAGUGAAUUACUUGAUUAAUUUAUCCGAGGGUGGACGAGCAAAUUACAGCCUUUAUAAUUGAAGUUCGAUUAGUGUAGCAGUUCGACCAGUGUUCGCCCAAAUCAACUGCAUUUAGGCUCGACAUUGUUCAAUUUGUGAAGUCAAUUUCACCUAAGGCUAAGCUGCUGCUGCGGACAUUUCAGACAAUCCAUGGACUGGAGAAGGUGCAGGAUUCAGACUCUGCAAGACACCUGUAAAAAUAAAAUGAGCACAGUAAAAGCUACAGACUAAAUACAAAAGCAGGCAUGCAUAGAGUGAUGAGGGCGAUACUCGGAGAAUAAUCGCAUGCAUUAAAGUAGUAGAUUCGCUCAUAGUAUUGAAGCAAUGAAUAGUAGUAUUUUCGCAGCACAAAAGAAGCAUUUGUGGCUGUGGAAGGGAAAUUGAAAGUGGCUGUAACAUCUUUCCAUCUUUUUUCUGAGAGUAUCUGCAGACAUGAACAAAAUACUAAUGGAGCAUGAAGGAUAUUGAGAUGUAAAUUAUUGGACAGGUUGUUAAUAUAAUGUCGUCAUUCCCAAUUUUA